GUGCCAGCAGCCGCGGUAAUACGGAGGGUGCAAGCGUUGUCCGGAAUCAUUGGGCGUAAAGAGUUCGUAGGCGGUAUGUAAAGUCCGGUGUUAAAUCCCGAAGCUCAACUUCGGCAUGGCACUGGAUACUUGCAAACUAGAAUGCGGUAGAGGUAAAGGGAAUUCCUGGUGUAGCGGUGAAAUGCGUAGAUAUCAGGAGGAACAUCGGUGGCGAAAGCGCUUUACCGGGCCGUUAUUGACGCUGAGGAACGAAAGCCGGGGUAGCAAAUGGGAUUAGAUACCCCAGUAGUCCCGGCCGUAAACGAUGGAUACUAGGUGUUGCGGGUAUCGACCCCUGCAGUGCCGUAGCUAACGCGAUAAGUAUCCCGCCUGGGGAGUACGCACGCAAGUGUGAA
rnacentral:rRNA from 1 species